rnacentral:rRNA from 1 species
UACGUAGGGCGCAAGCGUUAUCCGGAAUUAUUGGGCGUAAAGAGCUCGUAGGCGGCUUGUCGCGUCUGCCGUGAAAGCCCGGGGCUCAACUCCGGAUCUGCGGUGGGUACGGGCAGACUAGAGUGAUGUAGGGGAGACUGGAAUUCCUGGUGUAGCGGUGAAAUGCGCAGAUAUCAGGAGGAACACCGAUGGCGAAGGCGGGUCUCUGGGCAUUAACUGACGCUGAGGAGCGAAAGCGUGGGGAGCGAACAGG